CUGCCGAGCCACUGACUUCCUCGGAGGGCCCGGGACUCCAGCCUGCACAAGUGCGCACGUGUUCCCUGCACCUGCAAGAUCUGAGCGCCUGGAGCUCACUCACACAGAGGGCAGACUGGACUCUGGGAAGAAGAGUGACACAAUGUGUGGCCAGGGUUGGGGAAGCUGCUGAGCUGCGGGCGCGUGCGGUCUUCAAGGACUGUGGAGCCCGAUUCAUGCCCAACAGGAAGAGGAGAGAUAAAGAGGGAAACCACUCAUGACUUUCCACACAUCCCAGUCCCCAGGGAUGAGGAACCGCCACCUCAUAUCAACCCGGAGUCUCCAUGUGUACAUAUUCCGAGGGCUCUGUCCAAGUGGUUUGGAUCGUUCUGAAAUGCUGCCGAUUUCACCGAUCCGAGAAUGAUGUCACCCUCCCAGGGCCCAUUGGCUCCAUUCAACGAGAUUUCUUGCUGUCAUCUUUUGUUUGGGGUAGUUGUCCAGUUCUGUUCUGCUGCAGCACCAAAGGAGCUGCC